rnacentral:lncRNA from 1 species
GGCCCUCCCGUGUCAUUGCAGGUCUGUGUGGGUCUGUCUGUCCAUCCCUGUGUGUCCCCAGGUGUCCCUGAGUGUCCUCUCGGAUGUCCCCAGGUGUCCCUGAGUGUCCCCUCGGAUGUCCCCAGGUGUCCCUGGGUGUCCCCUCGGGUGUCCCCAGGUGGCACCGAGUGUCAGCGGGGUCUUUGUCGCCCUCCUGUGGCCCUCCCGUGUCAUUGCAAGUGUGUGUGGGUCUGUCUGUCCAUCCCUGGGUGGGGUCUCUGUCUGUCCAUCCCUGGGUGGGGUCUCUGUCUGUCCAUUCCUGGGUGUCCCCAGGUGUCCCUGAGUGUCCCCUCCGAUGUCCCCAGGUGUCCCUAGGGGUCCCCUCGGGUGUCCCCAGGUGGCACCGAGCGUCAGCGGGGUCUUUGUCGCCCUCCUGUGGCCCUCCCGUGUCAUUGCAAGUCUGUGUGGGUCUGUCUGUCCAUCCCUGGCUGGGGUCUCUGUCUGUCCAUCCCUGGGUGUCCCCAGGUGUCCCUGGGGGUCCCCUCGGAUGUCCCCAGGUGUCCUCUCAGAUGUCCCCAGGUGUCCCUGAGUGUCACCGGGGUCACUGUGGCAUCGCUGUGUCCCCCCUGAGUGUCGCCCGCCUGUGGCUGUCCUGUGUUCCUGCGUGUCCAUCUGGGUCUCUGUCUGUCCAUCCCUGAGUGUCCCCAAGUCUGGGGACAGCGCCAUCGGCCACUCGGGGAUGUCCCCAGGUGUCCCCUGAGUGUCACCCAGUGUCGUGGUCGCCCUCCUGUGGCCCUGAGUGUCCAUCUGGGUCUCUGUCUGUCCAUCCCUGGGUGUCCCCUCAGAUGUCCCCAAACCUGGGGACAUCUCUGGGUGUCCGCCUGUCCCCUCCUGAUGUCCCAAACUCCGAGGACAUCGCCACCGUCACUGGGGACACCUGAUGUCCCCAAAUGUCCCCAGCUCCAAGGACACCACCACCAGCUGGUGACAUCCCUGUCCCCUCCUGAUGUCCCCAAAUGUCCCCAACUCC